UCAAAACUAGAGUUGGAAUCUUCAAGCAGCUUUUAGUACAGAGGGAAGAUGAAACAGAACAAUUACAUCAUCACUCCACAGUUAGAGACAGCCCUCUUCAAUUCACUCCCCACAGUAGAAUAGCAACAACCUGCAGAGGUGAUUUCAAUUGAUACAUAAAGGGCCGACUAAUAGGUAAGAUAACAUGUCACAAAUACAUGCUGUUGAAACUAAUAUAUUUCAUACAUAUGCAGAAAGCAAAGCAAAGUCUCACCGAAGUCUAAUCUUGUUAGUCUAAUGUACAUAAUAUACACCAAACAAACUAUAUCUACAAUCUUUACCCACCUUGUAAGACAAGCCUAUUGCACAACGAUAAAAAAAACUUGUUUCUUACCUAAGAACAGCAUGCUGAAGAUUGUGAUCUUUCAGCAGGUCUAUCUGCAAGAACCAUUCCUGCUGGCUGCUGAAUUGGCUGAGCACGAGG
rnacentral:lncRNA from 1 species